rnacentral:lncRNA from 1 species
AUCCAUUUCCUGGGACACCCACAGUCUUUGUUCUCCUUAGGAUUAAGGUAGAAAAUUCACACAGAUGAGCUAAUGAGAUUUUUCUAAAUGCUUGCUAAAUCACUAAACACAUCUAAAUACUGCCAUUCACUUAUCCAUUCACUUAGCAAACCAUUGGAACAUCUACUGUGUAGUGUGCAGCGUGUGGUUGGUAUACCUGACUGAAGGAACCAGUAAUAACAAAAUCCUCUCGCCCUCGGUUUUGAUUGUGGCAUAAACAUGUAAUUAUUAUUACUUAAUGCAGUGAAUAUAAACCUGGAGCUGAUUUAUGCAUUGGGUAAAGGAUUAAGCUAGAUGAUAUCCAAGGGGUCUGACUGAAUCAUAUCACAAUUCCUAUAACACAUUUUGCAUAUUAAUCCAUGUACCUGAUUAGGUUAUAAAAUUAAAGGUACUUAAUACUAGGAUUUACAUUUUGAAACUAUUUUAACAGCCCAUAUUUCUCAAUUAUUUUGACACUUGA